CUCGGACAGUGACCAGGACCGGGAUGAUGCUGCUCAGCAACCCCAGGAAGAGGGUGAGGCUGAAGAGUCAGACAGAGCCCCGGAAGCUCAAGAACACCAAGUUGAAUGCUGCGCCCAGAUUCCUGUGGUGCCCCCCAGACCUACAGCAAUUGGGGGACAACCACAGGAGGAAAGAUGGUGACUGGGUGAUCGACCUGCAGCGCAACCGGGGCUCGUCGACGCAAUGGUGACUGCCAUACAGCCUAUGCACCAUCAGCAGCGCUGCCAGGAACUCUGAAUAAUGCGGUGGAUGGCCCAAAUCCAUACAGAGAUGCGGUAGAUGCAAAUGACCAUCCAUCAUGGAUUCCAGGACCUGGUGGUAGCCAUGGCAGCCCAGCCUCACCGACCAGGGGGCUCUGCUGAGGGAACAAGUCCCUGGUCCACCUGCUGCUCCCCCUCCACCCUCUGAAGCUCCUCAACAUCGGAGGAAAAGGGCGCAUGGAAGGGGACAUGGUCCUGUCUGAGGGGACAAAUGUCCCUAGCUCCAGUCUGUGUCACUUGCCAACUGACACUGGCCUCUUUUCCUAAUUUCUCCUGGUAACAAACUUUGCCCUAUUGACGCUUCAGGUAUCACUUUGUCCGUUAACCAGCAAUGGAACUGACUCCCAAACAACACAUCCCAUUGUUUACACUGUGCUCCAUUCUUGUCACUGAGGGGUGCCAUUUUUAGAUCUAUUGGCACCAAGGGCGAUUCGCCAAUGAGGCUAGUUGAGGCUGUCGCCUCAGGCAGCAGCGCCCCACUAGGUACCAGGGGCAACAAAAAUGCUGUUCCUGGUACUUUAAGAGCCAAAUUUCUGGUUUUCAAACC